UAGCUCAGUUGGUAGAGCAUGGUGUUUGCAACGCCAGGGUUGUGGUUUCGAUUCCCAC
rfam:Salmo salar isolate Sally breed double haploid chromosome ssa10, whole genome shotgun sequence.